CGCAGGGCGGGGGGCGUGCUAAUACAUGCAAGUCGAACGAACUCUGGUAUUGAUUGGUGCUUGCAUCAUGAUUUACAUUUGAGUGAGUGGCGAACUGGUGAGUAACACGUGGGAAACCUGCCCAGAAGCGGGGGAUAACACCUGGAAACAGAUGCUAAUACCGCAUAACAACUUGGACCGCAUGGUCCGAGUUUGAAAGAUGGCUUCGGCUAUCACUUUUGGAUGGUCCCGCGGCGUAUUAGCUAGAUGGUGGGGUAACGGCUCACCAUGGCAAUGAUACGUAGCCGACCUGAGAGGGUAAUCGGCCACAUUGGGACUGAGACACGGCCCAAACUCCUACGGGAGGCAGCAGUAGGGAAUCUUCCACAAUGGACGAAAGUCUGAUGGAGCAACGCCGCGUGAGUGAAGAAGGGUUUCGGCUCGUAAAACUCUGUUGUUAAAGAAGAACAUAUCUGAGAGUAACUGUUCAGGUAUUGACGGUAUUUAACCAGAAAGCCACGGCUAACUACGUGCCAGCAGCCGCGGUAAUACGUAGGUGGCAAGCGUUGUCCGGAUUUAUUGGGCGUAAAGCGAGCGCAGGCGGUUUUUUAAGUCUGAUGUGAAAGCCUUCGGCUCAACCGAAGAAGUGCAUCGGAAACUGGGAAACUUGAGUGCAGAAGAGGACAGUGGAACUCCAUGUGUAGCGGUGAAAUGCGUAGAUAUAUGGAAGAACACCAGUGGCGAAGGCGGCUGUCUGGUCUGUAACUGACGCUGAGGCUCGAAAGUAUGGGUAGCAAACAGGAUUAGAUACCCUGGUAGUCCAUACCGUAAACGAUGAAUGCUAAGUGUUGGAGGGUUUCCGCCCUUCAGUGCUGCAGCUAACGCAUUAAGCAUUCCGCCUGGGGAGUACGGCCGCAAGGCUGAAACUCAAAGGAAUUGACGGGGGCCCGCACAAGCGGUGGAGCAUGUGGUUUAAUUCGAAGCUACGCGAAGAACCUUACCAGGUCUUGACAUACUAUGCAAAUCUAAGAGAUUAGACGUUCCCUUCGGGGACAUGGAUACAGGUGGUGCAUGGUUGUCGUCAGCUCGUGUCGUGAGAUGUUGGGUUAAGUCCCGCAACGAGCGCAACCCUUAUUAUCAGUUGCCAGCAUUAAGUUGGGCACUCUGGUGAGACUGCCGGUGACAAACCGGAGGAAGGUGGGGAUGACGUCAAAUCAUCAUGCCCCUUAUGACCUGGGCUACACACGUGCUACAAUGGAUGGUACAACGAGUUGCGAACUCGCGAGAGUAAGCUAAUCUCUUAAAGCCAUUCUCAGUUCGGAUUGUAGGCUGCAACUCGCCUACAUGAAGUCGGAAUCGCUAGUAAUCGCGGAUCAGCAUGCCGCGGUGAAUACGUUCCCGGGCCUUGUACACACCGCCCGUCACAGCAUGAGAGUUUGUAACACCCAAAGUCGGUGGGGUAACCUUUUAGGAACCAGCCGCCUAAAGGGGGGACAGAGUUUU
rnacentral:rRNA from 1 species